UGGGAUGUGGCUCAAGUGGUAGCGCACUUGUCUCGCAUGCAUGAGGCACUGGGUUCAAUCCUCAGCACCACAU
rnacentral:tRNA from 1 species